UUUCAGAUGGAGUCCAACUGCGAUUCAGUAGUGAAAGGGCCCCGAGCAAAGCCAAGACAGCCAAUGCUGGGAGGAGCCGCGCACUGAGACAUUUGUGCUGGGGUUUCCCACUGCUGCAGACAUGGUGGAGAGUGGCGCGAUGAAUGCCUUUAGGUCUUCUUCCCAGCUGCUGGCAAACAUUCUUUCCAUUCUACAGACAAGGAAACUGAGGUUCAGAAAAGCUCAGAAAAGGGCAGAGGAGAGGACCAGGGCCUGGCGUAGCUGCUCUACUGACAGGAGCAAAGCAAGCAGAGCCAAUGGGAAACAACAAGUGUGUCCGCGGGCACUGCAGCGUAGUUGUGCAUGCGGCGGAAGGACAAGGAUGCAGCUGAGCAGACUGUCUGCAAAGACCUCUAUUCAGAUGUUCAUGGACAUUCACGGACACAACUCUGGCACGUGAAGAAUGUUGAUGAACCGGUCAGCCACUGAGGAGGAGGGGAAAUAAAUCCCCUCAACACAAAAUAAAAAUAAAAGCAAUAAUAAAAUAAAAA